GUCUUCGAAGAUCAGGGUGAUCAUCCCGUUUGUGUAGGUCGGCGUCAUAAUCAGCGGGACGGUGGGGGUUCAACUCCCUCCGGAGACG